rnacentral:rRNA from 1 species
UACGUAGGACACAAGCGUUAUCCGGAGUUACUGGGCGUAAAGGGCGCGUAGGCGGACGGGUAAGUCUAUUCUGAAAGCUCCUGGCUAAACUGGGAGAGGCGAAUGGAGACUGCAUAUCUUGAGUUCGGGAGAGGUGAGUGGAACUGCGAGUGUAGAGGUGAAAUUCGUAGAUAUUCGCAAGAACACCAGUGGCGAAGGCGGCUCACUGGCCCGACACUGACGCUGAGGCACGAAAGCGUGGGGAGCAAACAGG